UUCGGUCUUUCAGGCUGGCAUUCAAUGCUUUUUGCCUCUUUUACUGUGACUUUAUAUUUCUGAAUAUUACGCUGUCAUGUAAUGUUAAAAAAAAUGUUGCGUGCUGCAUGCUGGAUUACCAGACAUAUGCGUAAGAUCUUAGUGCUCUUAUCCAUGGGAUCUCCUGAGCAUUUCUGCUCUGAUAGACCUGAUGUAAUUUCUACCUCACUAGGAACCCAUGUCUGUUUUAUGCACCGUCUACAGACAGGCUGCCAAAAAGUGAUACUAAAGUGCCCUGGGACAGUUAUAAGAUGUAUCAGGGGAAUAUAUAAGGUGGUGCUUUUUAUGAUAUUCCAAUAGGUAUUGUAAUUGUUGUGUUUGGUAAUUGAACAUACAGUGCAGAUGUUUGGGCUUGGCUAUCCAUUUUUCAGUUUGAUUCUGAACUGAAGUCCACAAGGUUUAUUUGGAAAUGAAUAUAAUAUUCGUUCAAAAAUUCUAAAAGCAGUUGUUCUUUAUUGCAUCUUUG
rnacentral:misc_RNA from 1 species